rnacentral:rRNA from 1 species
UACGAAGGGGGCUAGCGUUGUUCGGAAUUACUGGGCGUAAAGGGCGCGCAGGCGGUCCUUCAAGUCAGGCGCUGAAAGCCCCGGGCUCAACCUGGGAACUGCAUUUGUGACUGCAUCGCUGGAGUACGGCAGAGGGGGAUGGAAUUCCGCGUGUAGCAGUGAAAUGCGUAGAUAUGCGGAGGAACACCGAUGGCGAAGGCAAUCCCCCGUGGGCCUGUACUGACGCUCAUGCACGAAAGCGUGGGGAGCAAACAGG